ACGCAUACCCCCAUACCUCACUGCAUGACAUUAGGCCAUCUCUCAUCUCAUAUGGUGGGUAAUUCUCCCCACCGUAUGUGUAGUUUUUUUAACCUUUUAGUAGCCUUUUUGGUAUUUCACGAUUUUACCUUCACCCAGGGCGGUAUAGCGUUUUUUGCCUACCGUUCCUUUUUAUAUUUUGGGUGCCUGGCUUACGUGCCGGCACCCACCGGGUUUCAAAAUUAUUAUUUAUUUUCAAGUUCUAUGUUACUUUUAGAGGAAGUCACGGCCAAUAGCAAGAGGACCCCUCCAACAAAUUUUCGUUGUAUUGUUUUUUGUUCUUUCCUUUUAGUUCUGGCACGAAUACGUAUUUAACGGUUCUUGCCGGAUUCAAGGGUUGGGAAGGCCAAUAACACGCUGCAGCUUGCUGCACUGCCCUUUUCAUCCGGCAAGCCUUCUUCCUCCCAAAAAAAGACGUACACUGGGGUCCUCUUUUUUACUACCGCCUUCGGCGGAAAUCUCUUGUACUAGCCAAAUGCCUCGUCAUCUAAUUAGUGACGCGCAUGAAUGGAUUAACGAGAUUCCCACUGUCCCUAUCUACUAUCUAGCGAAACCACAGCCAAGGGAACGGGCUUGGAAAAAUCAGCGGGGAAAGAAGACCCUGUUGAGCUUGACUCUAGUCUGACUCUGUGAAGAGACAUGAGAGGUGUAGCAUAAGUGGGAGGCCGUGAACCCUCGCGGUUGUGUCGUGCCGUCAGUGAAAUACCACUACUUUCAUCGUUUCUUUACUUACUCGGUGAAGCGGAAAGCGGACCAUGAGUGUCCACGCUUCUAGCACUAAGUGCAAGGCCCUUCGUUGGCCCGCACGAUCUGUUCCGAGGACAGUGUCAGGCGGGGAGUUUGACUGGGGCGGUACAUCUGUCAAAUGGUAACGCAGGUGUCCUAAGGCGAGCUCAGCGAGGACAGAAACCUCGCGUAGAGCAAAAGGGCAAAUGCUUGCUUGAUCUUGAUUUUCAGUACGAUUACAGACCGCGAAAGCGGGGCCCCUCGAUCCUUUUGACUUUAAGAGUUUUAAGCAAGAGGUGU
rnacentral:ncRNA from 1 species